UGGGGAAUAUUGCACAAUGGGCGGAAGCCUGAUGCAGCGACGCCGCGUGGGGGAUGAAGGCCUUCGGGUUGUAAACUCCUUUCGACAGGGACGAAGCUUUUGUGACGGUACCUGUAUAAGAAGCACCGGCUAACUACGUGCCAGCAGCCGCGGUAAUACGUAGGGUGCGAGCGUUGUCCGGAAUUACUGGGCGUAAAGAGCUCGUAAGUGGUUUGUCGCGUCGUCUGUGAAAUUCCGGGGCUUAACUCCGGGCGUGCAGGCGAUACGGGCUGACUUGAGUGCUGUAGGGGAGACUGGAAUUCCUGGUGUAGCGGUGAAAUGCGCAGAUAUCAGGAGGAACACCGAUGGCGAAGGCAGGUCUCUGGGCAGUAACUGACGCUGAGGAGCGAAAGCAUGGGUAGCGAACAGG
rnacentral:rRNA from 1 species